ensembl:snRNA U6 U6 spliceosomal RNA
GUACUUGUUACAGCAGCACAUAGACUAAUACUGGAAUGAUGCAGAGAUUAGCCUGACCCUUGUACAAGGAUGACAUGCAAACUCAUGAAGUCUCCCUUUUUUUU